rnacentral:lncRNA from 1 species
UCAUGGUCAACAACCAACUAUUCUUACCUUUGUUCUUCCGUCUUGUUACUAUUUUGGCUUAUUUUUGUGAGAUAAGUUCUCACCAUGUAGCCCCGGCUAUACUCAGAUUCACAUGUGUGUUGAGAGGCACAGCCUGUGCCUCAGCUUGUCUAGUCUUUCUGGUGCAGGCACUGUAGGAGUCUGCUGCCAUUCCUGACUGGACUGCCACCUUCCGUAGGGUAAAUAGUAUUGCUUUUAACAAUGCAACAUAUUCAUCCCUAAUCUCAGAGAGAUAUAGAUAUGUUAUUUCAUUACACAACCUGGCAUAGUCUAUGCUUCUAACAAAACCUAAACAAUAAUAAAAUAAUUAUAUUUUCCAGCUUCUGGGAUUUCUUAAAGAGAUUUAAAAAAAAAGAUGAAGGACUUUAAUCAUAGAGUCUCUGCAGACUUUGUAGUUGGUCAAGAGACAUGUGGUCAUGUGACAUAUGUGGUCAUGUGACAUGUGUGGUCAUGUGCCAUAUGUGGUCAUGUGACAUGUGUGGUCAUGUGACAUAUGUGGUCAAGAGACACGCGGUCAUGUGACAUGUGUGGUCAUGUGACAUGUGUGGUCAUGUGACAUGUGUGGUCAUGUGACAUACAUGGUCACGUGUACUUUGCUCUGUUUCCCACUUAUGUUCUCCUUUAAAAAGAAAAUUUUAUCACAUAAAGAGAGAAAUUACCAAAUACACAAAAUACACAGAAACAUGCCAAAUACACAAAAGCCUUUCAAAAAUGAUGUUCCCAUUUCAUCAUAAUCUACCCUCUUUAUGAAAUAUCUGUGCAGUUCUUGUCAUGAACAAGACGCUGAAAAGAAAAUAAAUAACCAUUUAAGUUACAAUCUAUUGUAACUUGAUGCUCUAAAAGAUUAAUUCAUUAAAAUAGGAGGAAUGCGAAGUUAAGAAAUGUGGUAGACCAGCAGGUUGAGGUGGAGGACUCUGCAAACACUGGUUAGGAUUUAAAUUUUACAAAAUAAAUAAACAAGAGUCUAGGAGCAUCCUGGCAAAUCAAAGAACUUUAGGGACAGCGCUGUGUUUCUGUUCUGCAUUUCAAAGAGAGAGCCAGAAGAAGGCUAAUUGCAUGAGGAAUUAAAUUGCCAUCGUCCCUAGCUAUGAGAGAGCAAUCUUAAAGUGGUCAGCAUCUCUGCACCUUUCUUCCUAACUCAGAAGCAAACCCUGACUCUAUGUUAUCCCAGAAACCUCAGAGCAAGUGACUGUUGCUUUGGCAGCAUUUCAACUAGGAGGGAGAACUUUAGGGAGUCUCGAUGUGAUAUCUAUUUCACAGCCUUUACAGGAGCAUCAGUACCAUCAGAUGCAGAGGCUCGUAUGUGCAGUCCCAGCUUUGGGGAGGUUGAAGCAGGAGGAUUAGUGCAAGUCUAGGCAAGCCUGGGCUAUAGAGUAAAUUCUAGGCCAGCCUGAGCUAUACAGAGUAAUACUUUAUUCUUAAAUAAGAACACUGACUAAUAGGACUACCAUUAUCUACAAACUUCCCAGCCCCCUUUAACUCACACAUUCUAGAAUUUUCUUUUGUUCUUUAAGUCAUUCUCAUUUUUCAAUUGACAACUGUUUAUCUAACUUGUUGCAAGGACGGAGAUAGUUCACUCAGCAUAGUUCCACCAAGCACUAAACUGUUACCAGUCAAGGCUUCAUUCCAUCUCCUCUGUGUAAGGUUGUGAAGCAACCUUUGCAGAGCAAGCAAAGUCACAAAAUGCACUUCAGAGCAACCAAGGCCCCAACUAUUUUUUCCUUUUGACUGUCUUCUGAAUACAGUGUUCCUGAGUUUCCAUUCCCAGGGCAGAACAAAGACACAUCUUCUCCCACUCUCCACCCCUCUCCUGUGGUAGCUUUCCCCCUCACCACUAAUGCUGACCACGUGGUUCCUGGCACUGCCAGAUCAGAAGUCAGGGAAUCAUAGAGCUCUGUCUCCAACCCUGUUCAUUUAUCAGUGAACAUGGAACCAACAUGAGUGAACGUUCUUUAGAUUCUGACCCAAAACUUCAUUAAACUUCAAUGGUUAGACCUUCAGAGAGUUUCAUGUCAAAGAGCCAUGGUUCUCCCCAGUUAUCCACGCGUGAGGCUCAUGAACGAUUUUCUCCUCUCAGUAACUGAAGAUGAAUCCUUUAAUUUGAAGUGUCCUGAACACUAAUGAGUCAUGUCAUUACUGUAGGAUACUUUCCGUUGGAUUUUUUCUUUCUUUCUUGGACUCAGCGAGGUAGAGAUUAAGGACAACUCUCAUUAGCUUUUAUAUUUCCCGAAGCAUCUGUUCGUGGCUGCAAAUUGAUCCAUCCUAAAUAUUUAUUUGUCUAUAAAUGCCAAGGAGUCAAUACUUCACUUUAUAGCUCUUUCUUUUGAUUUCCAAACACAACAUCUCCUUUGAAAGUUCCAUCAAUACUAUCAUUUGCAAUUUAAAUGCUUUGAAAUAUUAUCCUUCCCGCUGUGUUUCUGAAUACUUCCUUCAUAUUUAAUUGGUGCAGACACUUUAGUUCCUAAUUAAACUUUAUUGUUUAUGAGGUUGCUCUCAUUAAUAGACAUAGUAGCCGAAGAGAGAAAGAAGGAAAGAAAGAAGGAAAGAAAUGAAGAAAAGGGAGAGUUUCAGCAAAUUCUCUGACCUCCACUUCUACUCUUGAUACUUUUCAUGACCGUGAAUCCCAAGAACAAGAGUGGUCAGAAAGGAAGGAACAAUGCAAACACAGGAUCUACUAGACGCUCUGCAAGACAAGUGGUUGGGUUAAAAGUAGGGUCUGAAGCACCUGCUGGAUGAAUCUCCUCAUUUCGUGCUCUCUCACCUCAGCACACGCCCAGUUUCUCAUUGGUGACAAAGAGGAGCAUAGAUUGCAUGCACAAUACUUACAUUGUACUUGAGCCUUUUAUUGUGAGAGAUGGGACACUUGAAGAAUCUGGUGGUGUUUGGUCUUGAGAAGAUUUGCUGAAUUACAUCAAGGUUGAAAUGCCCACGAGGCUGACAAGCUCAUUGCCCAUUUCUGAGAUUAAAUAGCUUGGGGAAAAUGUUCUUUCCUGACCAUUGUGAUUAUGUCUGUGAAGUCAGUGUUCAAUUCCUUUCAAGCACCAGGGAUUGACUCUUGAUGUCUAUAGUUUCCAUCGAUGUGACUAAUUCUAACACACACACAAAAUACAUUUUAAAACAUGACCAAUUAACCAGUGAGCUUGAUAGCAUCUCCUCUAGUUCCUAGCAUCCUUACACUGUCCACCACCAAUAGACAAUCAGUGCCCUGUCUCUGUUAUUAUAGAUUUCCUUUGUAGCUGGUUGAGGAAG